CUCCCUCCUCCUCUCUGUGAUUCCCUCCUGUCCACUGUGUGUUGGUCUCCCUGCUGGUCCUUCCUGGACCUCAACCCGCAGCGUUCUCCACCACGUAACACCAUGGCCGCUCGCCCCGAGGGACACAGAGAACCACAGACGGCGUUCCUGUUUGCGCGAGGGAGUGCGUGGCGUGCGUGUGCGUGGCGACAUGAGCGUGCCUGUGCGGCCCCAAAGCUAUUCCUCCUUCUUCUACUUUUAAUAUCACGUGUAAACACGUGUCACGGAGGCCUUCUCUCAGGCCGCCUGUGUAGUACGUUAUUGUGAUCACGCUAACGGAGGUUACAUUUCACCGCUAAGUGGACAGCGGGAGACAGAGUCUGAGGCAAGGUCGCGACCUCUCUGGGCACCGUCACAGUCAGGGUCCCGGGGUUACCGAUGUACCCAGCCCCCGCUGCAUGCUAACGACAAGUGCUGCAAACUGUGUGUGUGUGUGUGUGUGUGUGUGUGUGUGUGUGUGUGUGUGUGUGUGUGUGUGUGUGUGUGUGUGUGUGUGUGUGUGUGUGUGUGUGUGUGCGCGUGUGUGUGUUAUGGUCCCGUGAUGCUAAUCUGUGUGUGUGUCUGGAUGGCCCUUUAACGGCGCCAUGGGCUAACUCUCAGUGAACCGCCGAAUUGUGCUAACAAGGAAUGAGCAUGUAGCUUGUUUUGCGCCCGUCCACUUGCAAAAGUCUUGGCUUGUCAGUGUGUGAACGUGUUCCGCUGUAAUGUGUGUACGUGUGGCAGUGUGUGUGUAUGUGUUUCAGUGUAUUGUUGCACUGUAGGGUAGACGUUUCUAAUGGCUUGCAAUGGCUAGGCAUUCACAUCACGACUGGUGGUCCUGUGGCCUCAGUGGUGAAACAAUAGAAAGCUUGGACAGUGAUGUAUCACCCGUCAUCUUCUCCCCGCCUGUGCUGUCCGCCUCUUUCUUAAAUUAAGUUUUAGGAUUAUGGAUUUUUUAUGGUUUUCUGCGCUCUGUAGGCUGAACUCAAUUAUUUUGGUUGAAUUACAUAUGAUGCUCAAAAAUGCGAAGAAAAAUGGUUGUCCGUGUCGUUGUGUGACACACUGGGAGGAAGACAUUUAGGAGACUAUUUUAGGAUUAUUUUGUAUGUUUGUUGUCGUUUGUCAGUUUGAUUGUUUUUGUAUAAAUAAGAUGAAGUGUUCUUUUGUCCGCCUGGUUGUGCUUUGUUAGUUCCCCGCCUCCUCUCACAUCAAAAACAUUAAGAACAUUCUGGAUUUACACCUGUCACAUAAUUGCACGCAUUUCCCUAAGCCCCACAACAGAUAAACAAACCGUUGGCAACAGAUAAUCUGAAUUUGUUGUUCGACCAAAACAACAAUCACUCACACAAAAUGAAGUCCCGCUAGCUUCCUACUAAAGCUCCCCGACGACCAAGAGGCUCAAUUCAUUGUGGUCCCCUAAACGACGUGGCCCCCUAAAC
ensembl:lncRNA